AUACGGAGGGGGCUAGCGUUGUUCGGAAUUACUGGGCGUAAAGCGCGCGUAGGCGGGCGGGUUAGUUGGGGGUGAAAUCCCAGGGCUCAACCCUGGAACUGCCCUCAAUACUGCCAGUCUUGAGUUCGAGAGAGGUAAGUGGAAUUCCUAGUGUAGAGGUGAAAUUAGUAGAUAUUAGGAAGAACACCAGUGGCGAAGGCGGCUUACUGGCUCGAUACUGACGCUGAGGCGCGAAAGCGUGGGGAGCAAACAGGAUUAGAAACCCCAGUAGUCC
rnacentral:rRNA from 1 species